rnacentral:ncRNA from 1 species
ACAGCUGGUGCCGUGUAAAAACGGAGAAUAGGGAAACAGGUGCAAAUCCUGUGCGAUCUCGUCACUGUGAGCAGGAGUUCAUCACUAAUAUGUCACUGAGUCAUCGGGAAGACAGUGUUGGAUGUUUGGACUGUGAGCCAGGAGACCUGCCAGAC